UCUCAUGAAUCUUCUGGACUUGGCAGCUGAAGACAGAUGCCAUCCUGGACUUUAGCCCUCAAGAAAACCAUCAAUAUUACCACGUAGGAUCCCGGAAUAGCUGUACUGACAGAGGUUACUUGGUCCAUACUUCAUGCUUACUCUGUCUUGUUCACUCUUCAGGAUCUGUGGUUAAGAUGGUGACAAAGGUGUUGUAGCAGUAUAACUCAGCAAUGGAAGCAUGUGCCACUCAAGGAAUGCACCAACAGAUGAGAGAGAGCACACGGUGUGCCCAGUCUAUCCAGCACAUUGAAGCAGAGAGAUCACAAUGGAUACCUUGGGACUCAUAUUUGAAGGUCCAGAUUGGGGUCUGAUUGUCUGGGGAUCAAUCCAACGCAGCAACAGCCCUUUGGACUCUGUCCCGUUGGCAUCCUCCUGGAGUCUGAUUUGGGUAUCUCGCACCAUCUGGAUUCACACAGCAUUCUACCUAGAAUGUUUCAACUGGCUUCUUCACAAUCCUGUCAUGAGCUAUGUCUAUUGAAAAGGCCAGUCUUCCAGGUCUCUUCUGUCAAACGCCAUGGUAUCCUUUUAUAGUCAAGCAAGAAAAUGUGAAUGAUACUGGGCUGUGGGCAAAGUGUGUGUCACUGAGUGCUCAGGUAAGCAGAGUUGGCUGGUGAGGGGAAAUGUAUGGGAAUCCUAGGUUCUGGCAUAUCCUAAGAAGUUAUUUGCCUUGAAGACAGUAAAGCACUGGACUAGGAGCAUCCUAUAUGACAUAAAUCUAAAGACAGGGUAGGUUUACAAGACAGAGAGAACUCUUAGUAAUCGUAAUUUCAUAUCUUCUUCAUUCUGGGGUUCUCUGGAUGUAACGAUAA